ensembl:lncRNA
AAAUGAAACAAGAGUCAGGUUAGUUCAGCUGUUUUGAGCACAGUUGAGUUCACACACAGAGUAUUUUAAUUUACUAUUUUUUAAUUUCUUGUUUUGAAUAAGCCUUUAAUAGGUUCUUUUUGACUUAGAGAAAGCAGAUGGAUUAUACCAACUUCACAUUGUUUUUUAUAUUCAUCUUUAUAUCAAUCUUUGUUUUCCAUUUUGAUGGUCAGAAGAGUUUUGGACAAUUAACAAGAUCUCUUGGGAACAACAAGCAGCUGUGCAACAACCAGGAAACAGCUUCACCUCUGAUCACACACACACUCAACUCUACUCACUCACCUGGAGGAACAACAACUCUGAGGUAGUUGGCCUGUGGCCUGUAUUUGUAUAGUGCUUCACACACCUAGUCAUCCACCCAUUCACACACACAUUCACACACUGGUGAUGGAAGCUACAUUGUA